UACGUAGGGUGCGAGCGUUAAUCGGAAUUACUGGGCGUAAAGUGUGCGCAGGCGCAAAGCAAGUCGAGUGUGAAAGCCCCGGGCUUAACUUGGGAAUUGCGCUCGAAACUACUUUGCUGGAGUGUGGCAGAGGAAGGUGGAAUUCCACGUGUAGCGGUAAAAGUAGCGUAGAGAUGUGGAGGAACACCAAUGGCGAAGGCAGCCUUCUGGGCCAACAACUGACGCUCAUGCACGAAAGCGUGGGGGAGCAAACAGG
rnacentral:rRNA from 1 species